rnacentral:rRNA from 1 species
AACGUAGGUGGCAAGCGUUAUCCGGAAUUACUGGGCGUAAAGGGUGUGCAGGCGGGGAAGCAAGUGGGGUAUGAAAUCUCCCAGCUUAACUGGGAUAGGUUAUGCCAGACUGCUUUUCUAGAGGACGAGAGAGGGGGGUGAAUUCCGGGUGUAGUGGUGAAAUGCGUAGAGAUCCGGAGGAACCCCAGAGGCGAAGGCGGCCCCCUGGCUCGUACCUGACGCUCAGCCACGAAAGCAUGGGGAGCGAACGGG